rnacentral:rRNA from 1 species
GAUGAACGCUAGCGGCAGGCUUAACACAUGCAAGUCGAGGGGUAGAGGAAGCUUGCUUCCUUGAGACCGGCGCACGGGUGCGUAACGCGUAUGCAAUCUACCUUAUACAGGGGGAUAGCCCAGAGAAAUUUGGAUUAAUACCCCAUAGUAUAAUUGAAUGGCAUCAUUUAAUUAUUAAAAGUUCCAACGGUAUAAGAUGAGCAUGCGUCCCAUUAGUUAGUUGGUGUGGUAACGGCACACCAAGGCGACGAUGGGUAGGGGUCCUGAGAGGGAGAUCCCCCACACUGGUACUGAGACACGGACCAGACUCCUACGGGAGGCAGCAGUGAGGAAUAUUGGUCAAUGGGCGCAAGCCUGAACCAGCCAUGCCGCGUGCAGGAUGACGGUCCUAUGGAUUGUAAACUGCUUUUGACAGGAAGAAACACUCCCUCGUGAGGGGAGCUUGACGGUACUGUAAGAUAAGGAUCGGCUAACUCCGUGCCAGCAGCCGCGGUAAU